rnacentral:rRNA from 1 species
GACGAACGCUGGCGGCGUGCCUAACACAUGCAAGUCGAACGGAACUGUUUUGAAAGAUUUCUUCGGAAUGAAUUUGAUUUAGUUUAGUGGCGGACGGGUGAGUAACGCGUGAGUAACCUGCCUUCAAGAGGGGGAUAACAUUCUGAAAAGAAUGCUAAUACCGCAUGACAUAUCGGAACCACAUGGUUUUGAUAUCAAAGAUUUUAUCGCUUGAAGAUGGACUCGCGUCCGAUUAGUUAGUUGGUGAGGUAACGGCUCACCAAGACCGCGAUCGGUAGCCGGACUGAGAGGUUGAACGGCCACAUUGGGACUGAGACACGGCCCAGACUCCUACGGGAGGCAGCAGUGGGGGAUAUUGCGCAAUGGGGGCAACCCUGACGCAGCAACGCCGCGUGAAGGAUGAAGGUUUUCGGAUUGUAAACUUCUUUUAUUAAGGACGAAACUUGACGGUACUUAAUGAAUAAGCUC